UAUAAACUUCCAUGACUUUACCCUUCCUUAUGUCUACAAAGCCUCUAGGAUAUACAUGAUAUAACUAGGGUCGGGACAAACCCCCGCCCACACAUGACUCCUGUACAAUAACAAAAUAUAAGGGACCGACUCGGAAAGCUCCGAAGCAAACUGGAGCUCACCAACAAUAGCUGUAUGACCUGGCUCCUAUUUAUGCUGUGAAUGAGCUGAAGCACCUGUGCCUGCAGUAUGAAAUGCAGGUCCCCCAUGAGGGACGUCAGUACGAAAUAUGUACUGAGUAUGUGAAGCUGUAAAUAAUUAUAUGUGAUAUGGGGGAUCAAGAAAAUCAGACACAAUCAGUAUUUCUUAUGAAUAGUAGGGCACUCUAAAUAAAUAAAGGGCGGGCGCCGAAAAGGCAAGUGAAUAAAUCAUAAUAGAAGUGAACCACACUUCGUAAACACUUUUAGGAUCAUGUAUAUUAUCAUUAAUCUGAAUUGGGUUCUUGAAUUCAAACACAUUUGUGGAACGGUAUACAUUCGUUCAUUUUAUUCUUUAUAAUUAUCAUUCGCCAUUAUCUCCUCCUCCCGAACCUCCAACCACCUAACAAUAAUAAAUACUGUACCGUACUGUGACCAUUAGGCUGCCCCCAGUACAUAUCAACUGUAAUCAUAUCAAAUAUUGGGAUCGGCCCAUGCUAGGCUUAAGCCCCUGAGCUACCACCCACACGUAUAUCAAGUAACACACAUAAGAGAUCUUUCCAAUAACUUAGUUCAAAAGCUUUUGAGAUUAUUACAUUAGUGUUCAUGCCAAUAUAGUACCUUUGGAAUAAUGAUACAUCAAUAGGAACCAAGUAAUAGACUUUCUAUACAAUAACGAUGUAAUAAAGACUCAUUGGUACAUCAACAAUGUGUUUCGGAAUCAUCAAUAUCACAACAAUGAAAUAGGAGCCUUUCGGUAUAUCAAUGAAACAUUUUGACACUUUAUAGAAUGGAAACAACUUCGUUGGUAAUGUAGAACAAUACAUGUUUUUGGACAACCUCGGAAUCUUACUUGAUGGAACAUUGGUGUUUUCAUGCCAAAGAACAUCGUUAGAGUAUGCUUUACAUACCUCGUUGUAGAUUCGGAUACCAAUUCAACACAACUUCCCGCCUUUACAAAUCACUUAUCUACAAUGAAAUGUUUGGCAUCU
rnacentral:lncRNA from 1 species